rnacentral:rRNA from 1 species
GACGAGGGGUCCAAGCGUUGUUCGGAAUCAUUGGGCGUAAAGCGGGUGUAGGCGGCUUUGUAAGUCAGGAGUGAAAUCCCCGAGCUUAACUUGGGAAGUGCUUUUGAUACUGCAGAGCUUGAAUGUGGGAGAGGGUAGUGGAAUUCCAGGUGUAGUGGUGAAAUACGUAGAUAUCUGGAGGAACACCGGUGGCGAAGGCGGCUACCUGGCCCAACAUUGACGCUGAGACCCGAAAGCAUGGGGAUCAAACAGGG